UCUUCAAUAAAAUAAAUUUAUUUGUAGUACGAAAGGACCCAAAUAACCCUAUAAUAGGAUUAAAUAAAAUUAACUAUAUACUAU
rnacentral:rRNA from 1 species